UUUUUUUUUUUUUUUUUUAGACAGAGUCUCGCCUCGUCGCCCAGGCUGGAGUGCAAUGGCACGAUCUCGGUUCACUGCAACCUCUGCCUCCCAUGUUCAAGCAAUUCUCCUGUGUCAUCCUCCUGAGUAGCUGGGAUUACAGGCACACACCACCACAUCCAGCUAAUUUUUUGUAUCUUUAGUAGAGAUGGGGUUUCACCAUGUUGGCCAGGCUGGUCUCAAACUCCUGACCUCGCGAUCUGCCUGCCUCAGCUUCCCAAAGUGCUGGGACUACAGGCAUGAGUGACCGCGCCUGGCCACAUCAUUUGAUAAUUACUGAGCUUUUCCUUUAUGGCUAAAAAUUCCUCUUAACCUAAAUCAUAAAGAUUUUUUCUCAUAUAGGUCCACAUAACUUAUCUGAAAUCCCUGGAGCCAGAUAUUUGAAAUAUAGACUAUUUUAAAUAUUAGAAGGGUAGUAUGAAACAUACAACAUAUAUUGUAUAAUAUUCUCAACAAGAAACUGGGACAGUACCCAUAAUGAAAUGUUAAUAUUUCUACAGAAAAACAUAUGCAGUCACCUAAGUGAUAAUGUUAAUAGCAACUAUAAAGAGCCACAUGUUACUUGAAGUCAUAUUUUUCACCAAAUAAGUUCCAAAGUGUUUGAUGUUUCAGAGGUUUGUGGAUUUUAUAAUUAGUACAAAAGUUAUGGUAGCCUUAUUCAGUAAGAAUGGAAUUAUUUCAAAGUUUGUAGGAACUUACUGGUGGAGCCAUGUACCUGGGAUUUGUGUGUAUGAAGAUUCUCCACUACUCUUUCAAAUUACUUAAUGGUUUCUCUACUUUUGAGUCAGUUACUUGUUUUUCUUGAAAUUUGUACAGUCAUCUAAAUCUUAUUUGCACUAAAUUGUUUACAAGAUUAUCUAACUUUUUUGAUGUCUAUAGUAUUUCUAGUUUCCAUUCUUGAUAAAGAUUGUUGACAUCCCUCCUUUUAUAGCUAUUAGAUGUUUGCCAAUUUUAAUUAGCUUUUUUCCAAAAAAAUCAACUUUUGGUUUCUUUCAACCUAUUCUAUGCUGUGGUGUGCUAGUGAAUUGGCUCCAAACAUAAAACAAAAUCCUGGCUUGUUUGUUGAGUUCCAUAGUGUAAACAGUCCCAUCAUGGGUGACUUCAAGCUAUUUAUUUGAUGUUAUUGAUCAUCAAGUUGCCAAGAGGUGUGCACAAUUGGCUCUCCCAUGCCAGUACAGGCUGUCUCUGGUACACCACUGCUUUUAUUUUCCAUUUCAUUAAUUUCUGCUCUUAACAUUAUUUCUGUCCUUCUAUUUUCUUUGUCUUAUUUUGCUGUCCUUUUUCUAACUUCUUGAAAAGGGAUUUUCAGCUCAAGACUUUUCAGACUCUUCUAAUACAGUUACUUAUGGCUAUAAAUGUCCCUCUAAGUGCUGCUUUAGUUUCAUCCCACACGUGUUGCUUUUGUAUUUUAUGGUUCAGUUCAAAAUAUUUUCUCAGUACCAAUGACUCUGUCUCUUAUUCAGACUUGUUUUUACACUUCUUUAUUGAUUUCUAUCAUAAAUGCACUGUAGUAAAAAAUGACAAUUAUUUCAAUUUUCAAAAUUUGUUGAGUUGCUUUAUAACUAAGUAUGUGGUUGACUGUGGUGAUGUGUCUGCUUUCAAAAAACUGUACAUUCUGAUUUUGGUCGUGUUGUUCUGUACAUAUUAAUUGCAUCGUUUUUACAUCAUGUUAUUCACGUUUCCUGUAUCCUUAAUUUUUCUCUUGCUAGUCUUAACAAUUAGUGAGAAAGCCCUGUUAAAAUUACCCAAUAUGACCAGGCAUUUUUUUCUUUCUAAUUCUGUCGCUUCACUUUGUUUCAUAUGCAUUUUUCAUUAGGUGCUUAUACAUUUUAAAUUUAAAACACAUCUCCUUUUUAGACUCAGAAGUCAUCUAAGACUCUUUCCUUUCACUCCUUUUAUAUCUCAUCAGUCAUAUUUAAAAGAUAUCUAUAUGUAAACUGACGUCAAUAGACAUGAUGUAAAAGAAGGGGGUGGCUCUGGUAAAGCUAAAGUAACUCCACUAUUAGUGUGCAUUAACUAUGGGGGAAAUACUUUCUAUAUUGCAGAACACAUAUUUGGUGGUACUUAGCCUCACAUCGCCACCCUGAAAAGUCUGCAUAUAUUGAUUUGGAGUGGAUCAAACUGCACUGGGUGCAAAAUUGUAAAUUGCGUAUCUUAUAUAAAUGCUUUAGAACUAGAUGAUGGAGCAGAUGGAAUUUAUGAAGAGAACGGGGUGCCAGAUGACUGACCAUAAACAUGCUUUUUAAUAAAGAUUCUGCUGAGAUACUAACUCAUAUAUAUUUUCUAAAAUUUUUAUUUCUUGUUCAUUUUGUUUGUAAGAUAUUAACUCAUAUAUUAAAAAUAACAACGUCUCAAAACAUUUGAAGCAACUCUCUUCAUCCCUUUUAAAAAUACCUUGCUGUUUCGGGGUUUAAAAAAGCCACAAGGGAGAUUAAAACAAUACAAAUAUUUAUCUUCCCAACUCCCCUGCCAUGGGUUCUGGGACGUCACCGCCUCCUUCUGGGGCCCGUUUCAUCCUUUUCUUUUAAUCCAAGAAGCGACGGUUUUGUGCGCCUGUAGUCCCAGCUACUUGGGAGGCAGGCUGAGGUGGGAGGAUCUUUUGGGUCCAGGAUUUUGAGGCUGCAGUAAGCCGUGUUCUCACCACUGCACUCAAGACUGGGCGGAAGAGCGAGACCCUGUAUCAAAAACAAAACAAAAAACGAGAAGGCAUCGCGGCUCUGUAACACUCCGUCCAGCUCUCGCACUCUCAGGUGCAAACUUCCACACAAACUCCUCGGCUCGCCUUGUCCCGCGGGACUAACAUAUCAAGCCUUCCGGGACACACUGUGCGAUGAUAUAUACGUAUAUAUCCUUCUUGCCCUUGAAGACCGGAAGUCGGCCUUCAGAGAAAAGCGAAACAGGAAGUCCCGCCCUUCUUUGGAAAGUAAAUGGUAGCUCGGAAGGGUCAAAAGAGUCCGCGAUUUCGCCGCGUGAAUUGGUUUUUGCGGUUGGGGAGGUCUACGCUUCUAGAGCUCGAGCCAGCGGGGCUACCCUGCAGUGGCAGGACUCGGCACCGCGCCCUCCACCGCCGGUUGGUGGCCUGCGUGACCCUUUCCUCCCGUCGACAUCGAAAGGAAGCCGGACGUGGACGGGUAGAGAGCUUCAUCGCAGUAGGAAUGGCAGCCCCAUCUAUGAAGGAAAGACAGGUCUGCUGGGGGGCCCGGGAUGAGUACUGGAAGUGUUUAGAUGAAAACUUAGAGGAUGCUUCUCAGUGCAAGAAGUUAAGAAGCUCUUUCGAAUCAAGUUGUCCCCAACAGUGGAUAAAAUAUUUCGAUAAAAGAAGAGACUACUUAAAAUUCAAAGAAAAAUUUGAAGCAGGACAAUUUGAGCCUUCAAAAACAACUGCAAAAUCCUAGGCUGUUCAUAAAGAUUGAAAGUAUUCUUUCUGGACAUUAAAAAAGCUCCACUGACUAUGGGACAGUAAUAGUUUGAAUCAUAGUGAACAUCAAUACUUGUUCCCUAUAUACAACACUUGAUAAUUAAGAUGAUCAAGAACCAGAAGAUCUGUGAAGAAACGAAAUAAAAUGUUUGAACAGCACCAGCGGUUCACUGAGGAAGGGACAUCAUGGCUUGGUAUCUCCGUGUGACAGCAGCUG